rnacentral:rRNA from 1 species
UGGGGAAUCUUGGACAAUGGGCGCAAGCCUGAUCCAGCAAUGCCGCGUGAGUGAAGAAGGCCUUCGGGUUGUAAAGCUCUUUCAGUCGAGAAGAAAAGGUUGUGACCAAUAAUCACAACUCAUGACGGUAUCGACAGAAGAAGCACCGGCUAACUACGUGCCAGCAGCCGCGGUAAUACGUAGGGUGCGAGCGUUAAUCGGAAUUACUGGGCGUAAAGGGUGCGCAGGCGGUUUUGUAAGUCAGAUGUGAAAUCCCCGGGCUUAACCUGGGAACUGCGUUUGAAACUACAAGACUAGAGUGUGGCAGAGGGGGGUGGAAUUCCAUGUGUAGCAGUGAAAUGCGUAGAGAUAUGGAAGAACAUCGAUGGCGAAGGCAGCCCCCUGGGUUAACACUGACGCUCAUGCACGAAAGCGUGGGGAGCAAACAGGAUUAGAUACCCUCGUAGUCCCUGAGCGGGCUGGCAAGGCGCAU